rnacentral:lncRNA from 1 species
GUCAACUGACCUCUCUUAAACUAUUGGAUGUAUUCCUACUCUUCUUUCAAUUUGGUGUUUUCAGGAGAUAUCCUUGUUUUUUUUUCUUCUUUAGUCUUCUGGGUGGUUUAGUUUAGAGGCUUUAGUGGUGGUUUGAUAGUUGUGAUUCUAGGUGGUUUGCUCCUCUUUUGUUCAGUGUGUCUGGGUUUGGUUGCGUGGUUUG